rnacentral:rRNA from 1 species
CACUCCUACGGGAGGCAGCAGUGGGGAAUAUUGCACAAUGGGCGCAAGCCUGAUGCAGCCAUGCCGCGUGUAUGAAGAAGGCCUUCGGGUUGUAAAGUACUUUCAGCGGGGAGGAAGGCGAUAAGGUUAAUAACCUUGUCGAUUGACGUUACCCGCAGAAGAAGCACCGGCUAACUCCGUGCCAGCAGCCGCGGUAAUACGGAGGGUGCAAGCGUUAAUCGGAAUUACUGGGCGUAAAGCGCACGCAGGCGGUCUGUCAAGUCGGAUGUGAAAUCCCCGGGCUCAACCUGGGAACUGCAUUCGAAACUGGCAGGCUAGAGUCUUGUAGAGGGGGGUAGAAUUCCAGGUGUAGCGGUGAAAUGCGUAGAGAUCUGGAGGAAUACCGGUGGCGAAGGCGGCCCCCUGGACAAAGACUGACGCUCAGGUGCGAAAGCGUGGGGAGCAAACAGGAUUAGAUACCCUAGUAGUCCCAUG